GGAGGGGAGAAGCAGGAGCCAGCAGGCUUCCACGAGGAUGAAGGAAUGAAUGAAUACACGAAGAAAUCUGUCCUUCUGUGUGGAUCCAAUCCUGGAAAUGAAUAUUCUGCUGCAUAAGACAUGAAAAGAGACAGACACGAGGAACAUUCUGUGGGAAAGAUUUUACCAGAGCUGGGAUGGCUUCAUAGGUAUGCACGUGCAACAGGACAAGAGAAGGAAAUUCAAGACUCAGUGAAAAUCAACAGUUUAAAGUAGCCAGCAUUGCUGCGGAUUAUAUGGCCGGAGAACUCAAAUCGCUCCUUUCAAGUCAAGUCCUGGGUGGGUGCUCUGGCUCCAAGCUUCAAACUUAAAAAUCCAAGAUUCCUGAAACUCAGAAAAUCUCUGAGUGAAAGUCAACUUCCUCUUUAAGUGUUCCCCGGGCACACGUAUUUCAUGUUGUGGCUGUUGUUGACCAAAAUGACAGAUAUCAGAUGAAUUACUCCUUUUCUGAGAACCACAAUACUUUUUAUACUAAUUAUGAUGUUUGGAAUGGAAUCAGAAAAGGCUGGGAGUGUAAAGAAAAGGGAAAAAAAUGUUGCUAUUAGAGUGUAAAGGGCAA